rnacentral:rRNA from 1 species
UACGAAGGGGGCUAGCGUUGCUCGGAAUGACUGGGCGUAAAGGGCGCGUAGGCGGAUGGCACAGUCAGAUGUGAAAUUCCCGGGCUUAACCUGGGGGCUGCAUUUGAUACGUGUUGUCUUGAGUUCGGAAGAGGGUCGUGGAAUUCCCAGUGUAGAGGUGAAAUUCAUAGAUAUUGGGAAGAACACCGGUGGCGAAGGCGGCGACCUGGUCCAUUACUGACGCUGAGGCGCGACAGCGUGGGGAGCAAACAGG